UGAACUUAUCCUCUGCAGCAGAGGUAACUCUGGGUCUUCCUUUCCUGUGGCGGUCCUCAUGAGAGACAGGUAACUCUAAUGAACUUAUCCUCUGCAGCAGAGGUGACUCUGGGUCUUCCUUUCCUGUGGCGGUCCUCAUGAGAGACAGUUAACUCUAAUGAACUUAUCCUCUGCAGCAGAGGUAACUCUGGGUCUUCCUUUCCUGUGGCGGUCCUCAUGAGAGACAGUUAACUCUAAUGAACUUAUCCUCUGCAGCAGAGGUGACUCUGGGUCUUCCUUUCCUGUGGCGGUCCUCAUGAGAGACAGUUAACUCUAAUGAACUUAUCCUCUGCAGCAGAGGUAACUCUGGGUCUUCCUUUCCUGUGGCGG
ensembl:lncRNA